GACAGAGGGUGCAAACGUUGUUCGGAAUUACUGGGCGUAAAGGGCGCGUAGGCGGCCAUUCAAGUUAGGUGUGAAAGCCCUGGGCUCAACCUAGGAAUUGCACUUGAUACUGUUUGGCUUGAGUUCGGGAGAGGUGAGUGGAAUUCCCAGUGUAGAGGUGAAAUUCGUAGAUAUUGGGAAGAACACCAGUGGCGAAGGCGGCUCACUGGACCGACACUGACGCUGAGGCGCGAAAGCGUGGGGAGCAAACAGG
rnacentral:rRNA from 1 species